CAAAAUUCUCAGAGGGAAGAAAUACAUUGUAGAAAAAAGCAAAAACUGCUCGAAUGGAAAUGCUCCAAUCGGGCCGCUUUGUCGAGCCGUCCGGCGGUUUUCGGGCCGUUGUCGGCCCGGUCCGUCUGUCAGGGAAUGCAUGGGGCUACACGCAAAAUCCACAUAACACCGAUCUGUGUAAAAAAAUUACACAGAUUGUUGAACAUGUUCUAGCUGUCAAAACUGUGUAGUUUUAUAACACAGAUCUGUGUAAAAAGUUACACAGAUUUUCGAUUAGCUUUCGUUUCAAAUCUGGGUAAAACCCGAAAAAGUUAAGAUGGCGACUUUUAUGCAGCUCCAAGAACUUGGAUUUUUCACAUUCCGGCCAUUCAUUUUAGCCCUCUGUUGGAUUUUUAACUCAUCAGAUGCACCCGUUAGCUUUUUCUUCGAUGUCCUCCUAAGUGAGCUGCAGGAGCGCCAAUCUCGCCCGCUGCAAAACCAAUUGCACCAGCUAUCCAGAGGAAGAGUUCCGGAGACAACACUCCAUACACACAAAAAAAUAUUAUGGUAAUGACAAAAGUAACUUACUUUUGAAUUGAUAAGUGGUUAAAAUUUGCUACAUUAAAAGUUUUUUUCUUGUUUUGAAAAUGAAAACUUUUACUGCUACAGUUUUUGAAAAUCUCAUUGCUAACUUUUUUAAAAGUUUUAACUUUUAAUUCGACUGUAGAAUUUCUUUCAUUUUGUCGUUCUCGUGAAACCGUGUACGUCUAAGUCCAAAAUGUAAACAAACGUUUAGGUGCACUCAAAAAAAUAUUCACGUUGAAGUUACGUGAAAAGCUAUGUGGUAUUUUUCCACUAAACUUUUCACGUAACUUCUACGAGGUGGCUCUAGUAGAAACGGAAUAUGCUUGGCCAGAUCAUUUCACAUUGUUUCUACGUGUUUCACACGUAGAAGCUAUAUGAAUCGAUUGAUGAAUUCUACGUGCUUGCUGUAGUAAACAUUAUAUGAUUUUUAUGGUUGUAGUAUUUAAUUUUUUUUUCGAAUGGAAAUAAGAAGAAAUAAGGAGUAAUUGCUAAAGCUCAUUUCCUUUAUUAACUAAUAAAUUUCUUCGGGGUGAUUUCACCUUUUGCCACUAAUUCAAAAAGAUCGCGGGUGACCUUCUGCCAUGUCGACGCUCCUAUCUUUGUGCACCAGCGAUCAUCGAUCGAUCGCAGCAGACUGAUGUCCAGGGAACCACGUUUGAGUGCUGCUCCAGUUCGGCUGCGUUGCGUUUGGCCACAUCGCUAAUGUAGCCGAGCAGGAGGAUGUUCAAUCGACGCUAGCUGAUUCCACUGGCCAUCAUGGUCGCACGGGAACCCGUUUCGAAAUCGUUGUCGUAGAUGGUCGUGUUGUUUGGGCUUACGUCGUCGAACUCCAGUUGAUGCCCAGCUUGCGGUACGCUACGAAAAGGUCCAACCCGAACACGACCGCGUACAUGAACUGACCAUGUCCGUGAUAUUUUCGGUGGCGUCAAACACCACGGUAGCACCGGCCACUAAUGUAAAAACGGGGCUAACAUUUCAGUGACUACCGGAAAAAAGAUGCUGCUCACAG